CCAGGGGCAGCCAGGGGGCUCCGGGCUGAAGGGGGAAGCCGGAGACUUCGGACCCCAGGGACCCCGCGGGCCGCAGGGCCUGUCUGGCCCCCCGGGGAAGCCUGGAAGGAGGGGUCGUGCUGGAGCCGAUGGUGCUCGGGGGAUGCCUGGGGAGCAUGGUGUUAAGG